UAGCCUGCUAUGGUAUAACUUAGUUGGCAGACGGGUGAGUAAUGUAUAAGAAUCUACCUAGUAGUACGGAAUAAUUCGUUGGAAACGGCAACUAAUACCGUAUACGCCCUACGGGGGAAAAAUUUAUUGCUAUUAGAUGAGCCUAUAUUAGAUUAGCUAGUUGGUGGAGUAAUAGCCUACCAAGGCAAUGAUCUAUAGCUGAUCUGAGAGGAUGAUCAGCCACACUGGAACUGAGAUACGGUCCAGACUUCUACGGGAGGCAGCAGUGGGGAAUAUUGGACAAUGGGCGAAAGCCUGAUCCAGCCAUGUCGCAUGAGUGAAGAAGGCCUUUGGGUUGUAAAGCUCUUUUAGUGAGGAAGAUAAUGACGGUAUUCACAGAAGAAGUCCUGGCUAACUCCGUGCCAGCAGCCGCGGUAAUACGGAGAGGGCUAGCGUUAUUCGGAAUUAUUGGGCGUAAAGGGCGCGUAGGCUGAUUAAUAAGUUAAAAGUGAAAUCCCAAGGCUUAACCUUGGAAUUGCUUUUAAAACUAUUAAUCUAGAGAUUGAAAGAGGAUAGGGGAAUUCCUGAUGUAGAGGUAAAAUUCGUAAAUAUUAGGAGGAACACCAGUGGCGAAGGCGUCUAUCUGGUUCAAAUCUGACGCUGAGGCGCGAAGGCGUGGGGAGCAAACAGGAUUGGAUACCCUGGUAGUCCACGCUGUAAACGAUGAAUGUUAAAUAUGGGAAGUUUACUUUCUGUAUUACAGCUAACGCGUUAAACAUUCCGCCUGGGGACUACGGUCGCAAGAUUAUAACUCAAAGGAGUUGACGGGGACCCGCACAAGCGGUGGAGCAUGUAGUUUAAUUCGAUGCAACGCGAAACACCUUACCACUUCUUGACAUGGAAAUCAUACAUAUUC
rnacentral:rRNA from 1 species